rnacentral:lncRNA from 1 species
CUUUUCUUUUUCUUUUUCUUUUUCUUUUUCUUUUUCUUUUUCUUCUUUUUCUUUUUUAUUUUAUUUUAUUUUUUUUUUUAGAAUUUGCUUUUCUGACAAGGUUUCACAUGAGCCUGGUGCUCUGGUCUGUAGACCUCGUUUAAGUAGCAAUGACAUUAAGAUAUUGUUUUCCAUGAAGAAUUACUGGAUUUUUCAUAACAAAACAGAAUAUGCUAACUUAUUAUAGACCUGAACAAAAUGAACUUAAGUGUAGUGAGGUAACUUGCUUAAGGACAUCCUGGUUUGUAGCACUGCUAGAAUUAAACACUGAAUUCUGUUGAUUCUACCAAUUCAGGGACUUACAUAUUUAUUAUGUUGAUUCCUUGCUCUUUUGUUCACUUGAGUAAAAAUGACUGCAUACAUCGCCUUAAUUCACUACCACUGUCCUGUUUUCAACUCAAGCACGUACUUUAAACACAAACAUACACACAAAAAGGCAGAUUUAUUUAUUUAUCAGCCAAAAUUUUAAAAGCAAAGCCCAGGAUGCAGAUAGAUUGUUGAUUGAUACUAAAAUUCUGACAACUGGAAGUAUCUAUUCAGAAGCCAGAUGAGUAACUAAGGGCUAAAGGGAACCCAUGAGAAUAAAACUCAGGUUUAUUAAGAACCGUUACAGUGAGUGGGCUGUGUCCUUCCUCAAUGCAAAAAUAGUUUAUAAUUUCAGUUAUAUGGUCUUGUAAUGUGUAGGUUAGCUUUGAAUAACAACUUUAAAUAGCCAUCAUCUUCUUAAUCCUUUAUGUAUCCAGUAUCCUGCUUUAACAUCUGUAAAUUUAAAAUACUGUUAUACUGAAAGAAUAUAGACUUUUUCAUGUUUUACUUAUGGCUUUUUAAAAUAACUCCAACUACUGUCUUUUAUGUAAUAAAAUGCAUGAUUUCUACACAUACCAUUUGAUCUAUGGACCUACUCUGUAACACGAUCACUUUUUGGGAAUGUCUGUUUAUACCCUAUGCAACAUUCUUAUUUAGUACGGAUGAAGGAAAGUCUGCUGUGGCAAAAUAAUUUCUUUGGGUUUCCAGUAAUUUUAUCUUUAGGAUACUUGUCAAAAAGAAUACAAUAUUUUUAUCUAUUGAAGAUGGAUGUCAUAGUUCACUUAAUAAUCUCAGGAACAUUAUGUCUUUUUAGCUCUAUGACCUUGAGCAAGCCUACCAUUUGAGCCUUUGUCUUUGUACUUAAGAGAUGGAGAUGGUAACAUCUAGCUUACAGGGUAAUGUGGAUGAAAUCACAGCAUAUUUAAAAGUUUGUAACCAGUGCUUAGCAUAUUAAGCACUCAACAAAUAUUCUUUUCUUCUCAUUCCCUGAAGCAUUUAAUAUCUCUAGGAACAAGCUAUCGCAGAAUAAUUCUCUUUAUUUACUUCUGGCACCUAGAAUGCUCUUGGGUAACUGAAGUAAGUUUUAAUUGUAACCAAACUGAACAAUUAAUAAUGUAAUAGGAAAAAUAAACAUGCCUUCUAGAACCAGUUAAAAAUGAUUUUCAGUGAUAUGCUGUUUCAGAUUCCCCACACCACUGCUUCCCCUAUUAGCAGGUAUGAGUGAGAGCUAAUGGUAAAUAAUGGUAACACAAAUCAGAACUAAAGUGCAUAGUCAUUUUUCAUCAAGCAGCUAUCAUGCUCUAAUUAGUGUCAAUUUAUUGGUUAUAUUAAUGAACUAAUGUAUUGGAGUUUUGUUUUUGUUUUGUAGAAAUCAUAUUUUUUUUUUUAUUCCAGUAUAGUUACUGGAGAGUAAGUCCCAUUUGUAAAAUACCAGAGCCUAUGAAGAAUGAAAACAUAUGGCUGGUCCAAACAUAGAUCAUAUGUGCCGAACAAUGCAUUUUUCUCUUUCUAAUUACUCAAGAUCUAAGGAGAGGUACUCCUCUCUUUCAUUUUCAGUUGGAUGUCACUGGUGGGUUUAUGAAUAUAUCAUAUUUGCAUCAACUCAUUUAAUCAUUCUGGGCUUUUUCACCCCAUCCAAGUCAAGUAAUCAUCUUCUCUGAAUAAAUUAUGGUAAAUAUUUAUUUGUAAGGUUUUAAUCAACCAACGACAGCCCUCAUAUGUAAUGAAAUUGUCACUUUAUAAGGUUUGAUGCCAAAUAUAUGUGUCAGGUCUGCACCAUUUAAUUAGCUGGACUUAGUUUACAGGUAGAGUCAACUCAGAUGUAAUAUCAGGGUUUUUUUUGUCUGGUUGGAGAGAACUACAUACAAUUGUGUAAUUGUUACAAUUUAUAAUGUACAAUGGAGUUCAUAUGUGUAGUGUACCUUGUAAUGCAUCAAAAUGUAUGACACUUCCAUGUUUGCUUAGAAUCUUCUGUCUGAGGAAUUGUAGGUACGUCUAGCAGCUUAGGUGUGACAUUUUCUGAUGGAAGCUACACAAACAUCAAUGAGUUUUAUUACUGUGACAAAUUGUGUAUAGCAAUUAUCAUUUUCUACCUUAAGGCUGAAGUGAAUCCAGACAGCAUGUACUUAAAUCAUGUACAUUUGAUUGUUCAUGUGCUCAUUCAUUGCCUUGUUAAACAGAUACUUUGAAGUUCCUCCCAUAUUUUAGGUAUUGUAUAAUAUACUGUUAAACACAUAACCUGCCUUACAGGAAUGAAUAGAGCAGAGUAAAAACCAAGUGAACAGAUAAUCUCUGUAUGUUGUGACUUAGACCUUUCCUCUGUGAUCCAAAGCACAGAGAUUAUGGAAACCUUUACAGAAUGGGUAAUGUUGCAACAGGAUGGUGAAGACCAAGUAGAAGAUUUUAAGGUACAGGGCACUUCAAACAGAAGGUCAAUAUGAACAGGACUUAAUGAUUAAUUUGUACUGCCUUGUUCUUAGGAAUAAAAUAUAUUUUACUCUUAAGUUAAAUAAUAUUUUUGGAAUCUUUACAGUUUUCUUUUUCCUUUCCUCUCCUUCUAAACAAUUCUAUUUCAUCUUUCACUGAACUGAAAGUACUGAAAAAUAUAUAUAAUUUCCCAGUAUUUUAGUCUUCUGUGUUUGCCCAAUGAAAUGUGAACACAGUCUUGCAUAAUGCUGAAAAUUGACUUAAAUUUUUUCUACAUGCUCGACAUUUACUUUUCCUGAAAGUGGAGUUCAGUUUUUUCUUCUGGAAGGCUCAGUUACCAUGUUGAUAGUUAUGAAUGUUUACUGGGGCUCUGUGGUAGGGGUUGCAUGAGGUCUUGUUGCUUUUAUUAACCAGUUUGUGAUGUUGUUAAAGAAUUGACUUUACUAUGGCUGUGGUAUAAUUCGUGUGAGACACAAUGCAUGAUGAAAUGUUAAAUCUUUGAAAAAGGAGAGAUUCUUGUUUGAACUCAAUAGCAUUUUGUGUCUUUUUUAUUGUUGUGUACCUCUAUUAAUCCCACCCACCUAGAUUUGUAACUCAAGGAGAGCAAAGAUUGUUUUGUUAUACAUAUACUGUAUCUCUGGUAUUCAAUCAGGGAUCGUUUCAUCACCCAGGAAACAUUUGGCAAUGUCUGGACAUAUUUUUAGUUAUCACAACUAGGGAGUGGAUGCUAUUAGUAUCUAAUGGCUGGAGGCCAGAGAUAUUGGCCUACAUUGUACAAGAUACCCUCUACCACAAAGAAUUAUCUAGCCCCAAAAGUCAGUUUUGUCAAGAUAGGGAAACCCUGCUCUACAUAGUAUUCUUUACUCAUUCUGUAACUUUGACGUCGUUAGCUCAUACAUUUUUGCCUCAUUAUAAAAGGGAAAUUAAUUAACUAGUGUUUAUACAAUCAUAUUUAGUAUAAGAGCUGAGUAGUUAGGAUAGAAAUAACAUGCUCCGCUAUAAAAGAAAACUAAAUCUUUACACAAUAAAAUAUUUUCACAAAAAAUAGCUGAAGCAAUAGCUUCUCAGUAUUCUGUGACUAUAGCAUUAGUGACUUCUUUGAGUAUAUUAUUAAGCACUGACCUUAUUGAUAGGAACUGGAGAUCUGUCAGCAAGCAGUAUAGUCACAGAUAGUGCUGUCAUUAUGCCUAUAAUUUUAUAGGAUCUGAGAUGUUGAAAAAUAAUUGCAUAAAUGCACAUUAAAUUUAUAAUUUAGAUAAUUGUUUUAAGAUAAGCAGACACACAGGGUGAUCUGAGAACUGUAGGAGUACCUGGGAAAAAGUCUAUUAAAAAUUCCAAUAUAAAUACAUAAAAGGAGAAAGAGGGGAUCCCUGGAUGGCUCAGUGGUUUAGUGCGUGCCUGGCCUAGGGCGUGAUCCUGGAGUCCCAGGAUCGAGUCCCACACGGGCUCCCUGCAUGGAGCCUGCUUCUCCCUUUGCCUGUGUCUCUGCCUCUCUCUCUCUCUGUCUCUCUCUCUCUCUCUGUCUCUCAUGAAUAAAGAAAUAAAAUCUUUAAAAGAAAAAAAAAAGAAGAAAGAGUAAGAGUUGACCCAGCUAAGGAUGAAUUCCAGGCAAAGUGAGGAGCAUAGUCCAGGAUGUGAAGGUAGGAAAGAAAUUGGUGCAUUCAAAAAAGAGUAAGGUGUUAAAUAUGAUUGAAUGUGGCAAUUAAGGAGAGUAGCUUAAGCAUUAGGCAAGGCCCAGAUAUACCUAGGGCCUAUAAGCAAUGUAAAAAUUUAUACCUUUAUUCUAAAAAUAAAAUUAGACCUUAGGGACUCUAAACAGGGGAGUGACUAUGGUAAGAGUCACACUUAAAGCCUAAGUAAGACAACUAUGUAUACAAUAUUCCAAGUUUGUACAUGAGCGUAUCUGUAAUACUUUAAUGGUGGAAGCGCUCUGGGUGUCUGUAUCUCAACCAACCAAGGCCUGGCUGAGUCUUUCAUAUGUAAAUUGCCCGAAUAUCUCCAUUCCACACCCCUGCCUUAAUGAACAGGUUUUUGAUCAACUUGUGAUAAGAAAUCACUUUCCUGUUACUGGAGGAAGCAAGUCAAAAUAUUUCAAAUGUCUUCUCUCUAAUAGGCAAGGGGUGAGGUUUACUUACAUUUAUGGUUAUUUACCAAAUGCUAGUAUGAGGCUAAGCAUGUCACAUCUAUCCUUCCUCUAAGGCAAAUGCCAUUUUCCUCAUCAGAAAACUGUAUCUUGGGCCAACAGGCUAGCUCAGUCAGGAGAGCAUGAGACUCUUCAUCUCAGGGUUGUAAGUUUGAGUCCCACAUUGGAUGUAGAGAUUACUUAAAAAAAUAAAACCA